UACGUAGGGGGCUAGCGUUGUCCGGAAUCAUUGGGCGUAAAGCGCGUGUAGGCGGUUCGGUAAGUCCGCUGUGAAAGUCGGGGGCUCAACCCUCGAAAGCCGGUGGAUACUGUCGGACUAGAGUACGGAAGAGGCGAGUGGAAUUCCUGGUGUAGCGGUGAAAUGCGCAGAUAUCAGGAGGAACACCAAUUGCGAAGGCAGCUCGCUGGGACGUUACUGACGCUGAUGCGCGAAAGCGUGGGGAGCAAACGGG
rnacentral:rRNA from 1 species